AUACGGAGGGUGCAAGCGUUAAUCGGAAUUACUGGGCGUAAAGCGCACGCAGGCGGUUUGUUAAGUCAGAUGUGAAAUCCCCGGGCUCAACCUGGGAACUGCAUCUGAUACUGGCAAGCUUGAGUCUCGUAGAGGGGGGUAGAAUUCCAGGUGUAGCGGUGAAAUGCGUAGAGAUCUGGAGUAAUACCGGUGGCGAAGGCGGCCCCCUGGACGAAGACUGACGCGCAGGUGCGAAAGCGUGGGGAGCAAACAGGAUGAGAUUCCCUGGUAGUCCACGUCGUAAACGAUGUCGACUUGGAGGUUGUGCCCUUGAGGCGUGGCUUCCGGAGCUAACGCGUUAAGUCGACCGCCUGGGGAGUACGGCCGCAAGGUUAAAACUCAAAUGAAUUGACGGGG
rnacentral:rRNA from 1 species